rnacentral:lncRNA from 12 species
AUGCGGAGCAUUUUCUCAUGGCCGCACCACAAUUUGCCUAAGUCCUUAUUGACGUGCAUCAAGGUUGCCUCGCAUAUUUCUCUAACUCUAAUAAAAAUUCUCACCAUGAACAGUCUUACAGGUAUUGAUAAUCAUGGGUAUUAUUUUGUAUCUUCCUCAUUGUAUGACAUUUUUUUUUCAGCAGCAUUCGUCAACAUCAGAAUGUCAAAUUGUUGGAAUCUGUCAUUCUGGGGAUUUUCUGCCCAAGAAAGAAUAAAAAGAUCUGGCAAGAGAGCACAGACUAUGCCAACUCCAACCAGACCUCCGUGAUUCACAAAUCCUAUCCUGGAGAGAUGAUUUCCCUGUGAGUGGGACGGUUCUGCUAUCAUCCAGAAUUGCCAGAACAAUCGAUCCCCAGGAGCUUGACUUGGUGAAUGUUGGGAACUCAAGACAAUGCCAAUCAACAUUUAGCUUGGAGGGUAAGCCUUGUCUAUGAUGGCGUUUUCACCCACAACAUGGUUACCGUACUAUUCUCUGUAUGUUACCUUCCUCCUUGUAAAUCGCCUUCAUAGGCCAGAGAUAACUUUAGCAAGAUCAUCUUUACCAGAAAACCAGUUUCUUUCCUCUCUUUCCUAAUUAGCCGGCCUGAAUGAAUUCUACCUUUAUAACUGGUUUCUCCAUGGAAUUUGGUCUGUGGCCACAGAGCAAACAGCAAGACGAGGGACACAAGGUAGAGAAGAGUGAGUGGAAAUCAUGUCAUCUGAUCUCUACACGGGUGAGUCCUAUUGAUCUGCCCUGGAUGAAAGUGAAUGCAAGAACGGGUGACCUCUAAGAACUCACACACAGAGCACAAGACCCCUAUUAGAGACAUAGAAGGAUUCAAGGUUCUUUGGUCUGGUUCCUCCAAGACUCUAUUGUUCUGCACCCUGGGAUUUGUGGAAAUGGACUAGGGACUUUCUGCCUUUGAGAAAUGCCUCCUGAAAAAAAGAAGGGGGCCCCCCCCAUUAUGUUGUCAUUGAAGCUCUGACCCUUGAACCUCUGAAUCCCAGAAAAUGGCAGGCACCAAAGCCUAGAAGGAAAGUAUACAUCCAUAUCCUUUCCAGAUGAUAGCAUCAAAUAAACAGAUUAUAUAUACAUAUAUAAAAAUCCUC